rnacentral:rRNA from 1 species
GAUGAACGCUGGCGGCGUGCUUAACACAUGCAAGUCGAACGGAAAGGCCCAAGCUUGCUUGGGUACUCGAGUGGCGAACGGGUGAGUAACACGUGGGUGAUCUGCCCUGCACUUCGGGAUAAGCCUGGGAAACUGGGUCUAAUACCGGAUAGGACCACUUCUUGGAUGUUGUGGUGGAAAGUUUUUUCGGUGUGGGAUGAGCUCGCGGCCUAUCAGCUUGUUGGUGGGGUAAUGGCCUACCAAGGCGUCGACGGGUAGCCGGCCUGAGAGGGUGUACGGCCACAUUGGGACUGAGAUACGGCCCAGACUCCUACGGGAGGCAGCAGUGGGGAAGAUUGCACAAUGGGCGCAAGCCUGAUGCAGCGACGCCGCGUGGGGGAUGACGGCCUUCGGGUUGGAAACUCCUUUCGCUAGGGACGAAGCGUUUUGUGACGGUACCUGGAGAAGAAGCACCGGCUAACUACGUG